rnacentral:rRNA from 1 species
GACGAACGCUGGCGGCGUGCUUAACACAUGCAAGUCGAACGGAAAGGCCCUGCUUUUGUGGGGUGCUCGAGUGGCGAACGGGUGAGUAACACGUGAGUAACCUGCCCUUGACUUUGGGAUAACUUCAGGAAACUGGGGCUAAUACCGGAUAGGAGCUCCUGCUGCAGGGUGGGGGUUGGAAAGUUUCGGCGGUUGGGGAUGGACUCGCGGCUUAUCAGCUUGUUGGUGGGGUAGUGGCUUACCAAGGCUUUGACGGGUAGCCGGCCUGAGAGGGUGAUCGGCCACAUUGGGACUGAGAUACGGCCCAGACUCCUACGGGAGGCAGCAGUGGGGAAUAUUGCACAAUGGGCGGAAGCCUGAUGCAGCAACGCCGCGUGCGGGAUGACGGCCUUCGGGUUGUAAACCGCUUUCGCCUGUGACGAAGCGUGAGUGACGGUAAUGGGUAAAGAAGCACCGGCUAACUACGUG